rnacentral:rRNA from 1 species
AGAGUUUGAUCAUGGCUCAGAUUGAACGCUGGCGGCAGGCUUAACACAUGCAAGUCGAGCGGGGAAAGGUAGCUUGCUACUUAACCUAGCGGCGGACGGGUGAGUAAUGCUUAGGAAUCUGCCUAUUAGUGGGGGACAACAUCUCGAAAGGGAUGCUAAUACCGCAUACGUCCUACGGGAGAAAGCAGGGGACCUUCGGGCCUUGCGCUAAUAGAUGAGCCCAAGUCGGAUUAGCUAGUUGGUGGGGUAAAGGCCUACC